GACGUAGGGCGCGAGCGUUGUCCGGAUUUAUUGGGCGUAAAGAGCUCGUAGGCGGUUUGUUGCGUCGGCUGUGAAAACCUGAGGCUCAACCUCAGGCCUGCAGUCGAUACGAGCAGACUAGAGUGUUGCAGGGGAGACUGGAAUUCCUGGUGUAGCGGUGAAAUGCGCAGAUAUCAGGAGGAACACCGGUGGCGAAGGCGGGUCUCUGGGCAACAACUGACGCUGGAGGAGCGAAAGCGUGGGGAGCAAACAGG
rnacentral:rRNA from 1 species